CUGGGGACGUCUAAAGGAACUGCCUACGCAAGUAAGUGAGGAAGGCGGGGAGUGACGUCAAAUCAGCACGGCCCUUACGUCCAGGGCUACACACGUGCUACAAUGGCCGAUACAGAGGGCAGCUACCUGGUGACAGGAUGCAAAUCUCCAAAGUCGGUCUCAGUUCGGAUCGGAGUCUGCAACCCGACUCCGUGAAGUUGGAUUCGCUAGUAAUCGCGCAUCAGCCAUGGCGCGGUGAAUACGUUCCCGGGCCUU
rnacentral:rRNA from 1 species